rnacentral:sRNA from 1 species
GGAAGCCUCUCUGUCGCCGUUGGUUUUGACGAAUUUCCACCUGAAUUAACAUGGAGAACCACUCCAACCAAUAAGAUUAUAAUGCUUCGGCCAGUCGUCAUUGAUGGCGUUGCAGUGUUGAAUGCCACAAUGGACGAUGACACGUGGAUGCCCUUCAUGGAAAUCACCAAAAACUGCAGAGACUGGAUUUAUGAGCCUGAGUUGGUGGGUGUUUGUCACUGGGCUUUUGGGCUGCUUUUCUCUCAAAAAUACAAUUUCCAGAAUCUUCCAGUCAAACCAUUAACCGAUAUAAUUCUUCUAUUCCUGAUUCGAGGUCACAAAACCACUGUAUAUCUUCCGAAAUACUAUCAGGAAUUUCUGUCAGACUGUGGAGUCUCGAAAGUUGAUGAUUUGGUGGCUUUCCAGAAAUUAAUUGAUCUGGGCUUUAUUAAAUUCCUGGAGAUCACUAAUCCAUUCAAUUUUAAAUGGUUCAAUGUAGUAGCAGACUUGGCUGAUCGCUGUGGUGCUGUAUUUGUGUCAUCAGAGGAUUAUCGCCAGAGAAAAAUGAAAAUAAAUUAUUCAAAACCGUCGGGAAGGAUCAUUACGCCGUGCUUUUUGAAUGCAGAAGACCGGUUAUUGGUUUUAGAUCCAACAAUUCGGUAUAGAAAGCCUGGAGAGAAGACGUAUACGGUUAUUUCGUCGGAUCGG